rnacentral:rRNA from 1 species
GAUGAACGCUGGCGGCGUGCCUAACACAUGCAAGUCGAACGAAGCGUCUUAAAGGAAGUUUUCGGAUGGAAUUUGGGAUGACUGAGUGGCGGACGGGUGAGUAACGCGUGGAUAACCUGCCUCAUACAGGGGGAUAACAGCUAGAAAUCAUUGCUAAUACCGCAUAUACCACAGAUAUCGCAUGAUAUAGGUGGAAAAGGAGCAAUCCACUAAUAGAUGAGCUUGCGUCUGAUUAGUUAGUUGGUGGGGUUACGGCCUACCAAGACGACGAUCAGUAGCCGGACUGAGAGGUUGAACGGCCACAUUGGGACUGAGACACGGCCCAG